GUGAUUCCAAUAAAUCCUGCCUAAUUUCAUACGCUCUAUUGCUUCUCUUUUCUAUUCCCGACCCUAACCUUUUUUCCUAAACUCAAUUCACCAGAAGAAAAAGAAAAGAAAAGAAAAUUACAGAAUCGAAGAUCAUAUGAUGAUACCAAGCUUGGAAAGGGAAACCCUAAAGGUAAAUACUAGUCCAGUUAACAAAGACGAAGAAACAGAGAUGACAAUGGAUUGUAAAACCCCAACCGGGCUGAGACAUAAAAUAGCAGAGACGACAUGGGAUUGCAAGACCCCGACUGGGGAGGAACACAAAAUACCUAUCCUGAACACUUGCCCUCCAGCUCCAGGUCCAAGGUGGCUUCUGGAUUCUCUCUCGGAGAAAAAGAAGGCGUCGAAGAUGAACUCUGAUGCCGAGCCAAAGGUAAUAAUGUUACAACCUUUUAAGGCAUCCAAUUCCUAAGAGAAAUAGCGGGUCUCCGAUGCGCGCUGAGGGUUAUGUUAGAACUUUGAAUAGUCCAGUUAGAGAAAUUAGAAUAUUGCAACAUUCUUUUCAGAAAGAUAGAUACAGGGUAUGAUUUUUCUCGGGUUGCAAGUAGAAGGUCAUGAAACUUAUGCUGAUUAAAAGGACAAGAUUGAUAGGUUUUGGAAUUUCACAACGAGGUAGUAAUUAUGCUUUGAGACAUAGUCAACAGCGUAAUUAGAAACUGGAUUAUAAUCUUAAUUUGGAUCUUUUCUUUUAUUUUUUUAACGUAAUGUUGUUGUUUUAAUCAGCAUCUUUAUUGAAUUGUUUUUAUAACCAUAAGAAAUUAAGAAGAUUGGUAGAAGUUCUGGGCAUACAAAACUUUGCUUGCUAUGCUGUGUACAUGCGUGUGUAAACGUAGAAUCCAAUUAUCACUGGUAUUUCUUUUGAUUAUUAUAAUCUUCUGGGAAAGUUUGUUUUUAUUUUAUGAAAAACUUUUGGGGAAGCUGUUGCGUGGCAUUUUCCAUUUUCUUUCCGAGAAUCACCAUCAUCCAGCCCUCUUCCCUUCAAGUCAUGCCUAGUUUGGCUUGUAUUAGAUGUCUGGAAAUUAUUUGUUAAUUUUCUCAUCUUCUCGGAGGAGCACUGACAAGUGACAACCCAGUUUCUUAAAUUGCUGGUUUGGCCGCUGACAAAAUAACCUUCGAUGUUUUAUACUUUAUGGCACUUGCAAACAUUAGAAGUUUACUGAGGAGGCAUGAAGAUGCAGCUGGUAAUCUUCUGCCUGUGGAUUUUGUCUCCUUGCGGUUAUAUUUAAUGACCAGAAAAUGAUUACUUAGUCCAACAUCGUUUCAUUUGUGCGUACUAUGAAGUUCAAUUGAAUCGAGGUGUGCGGAGUAUGACAAGUCGAGGGGUUCUGCACAGUGAUUUGAACCUCUUCUUGUGUGGGUGAAUUUAAAUCAUUGAAGAGCUGCUUCAGCUUUGCUCUUGAAUUUAGAAUACCUCUGCAUUUCCAAGGAGCAGCGGCUAGAGUUUUUAGCCACUUGAUUGUGUAUCAUGAAUCUGAUGAGCUAGUUGUGUUUUUAUUGGUGGAGCUUAUUUCUAAAGCUUCAGUAAUCCUGUGUAGCUCCACCUCCUUUGAGUUAAUUUUUCCAGUGGGGCUUGGAAAAAUACAGAUGAAUUUUCCAGCACCAUUGUGAAUAA